rnacentral:tRNA from 1 species
CAUUGAACUUAAGAUUCAAAUAUAAAGUACUUUUUAAACUUUUAUUAAAA